GACGAACGCUGGCGGCGUGCUUAACACAUGCAAGUCGAACGGAAAGGCCCUGCUUGCAGGGUACUCGAGUGGCGAACGGGUGAGUAACACGGGGGUGAUCUGCCCUGCACUUCGGGAUAAGCCUGGGAAACUGGGUCUAAUACCGGAUAGGUGCCAUUUUUAGUGGGAUGGUUGGAAAGUUUUUUCGGUGUUGGAUGAGCUCGCGGCCUAUCAGCUUGUUGGUGGGGUAAUGGCCUACCAAGGCGGCGACGGGUAGCCGGCCUGAGAGGGUGGACGGCCACAUUGGGACUGAGAUGCGGCCCAGACUCCUACGGGAGGCAGCAGUGGGGAAGAUUGCACAAUGGGCGCAAGCCUGGUGCAGCGGCGCCGCGUGGGGGAUGACGGCCUUCGGGUUGUAGACUCCUUUCGCUAGGGACGAAGCUUUUUGUGACGGUACCUAGAUAAGAAGCACCGGCUAACUACGUG
rnacentral:rRNA from 1 species